AAAUGUUUAUAUUAUUUGAAUAAAACAUUCAAAUAAUAUAAAAAAUAAUAUAUAUAUUGACAUGGAUUAAACAAAGAUAUAUAUUAUUCUAUGUUGUAUAAACAAAUUGGCAAAAUAGAGAUGGAAGAUAAAAAUAUGGUCAAAGUAAUAAGAGUCUAUGGUGAAUGCCUAGGAAA
rnacentral:misc_RNA from 1 species